AACGAACGCUGGCGGCAUGCCUAACACAUGCAAGUCGAACGAGACCUUCGGGUCUAGUGGCGCACGGGUGCGUAACGCGUGGGAACCUGCCCUUAGGUUCGGAAUAACUCCCCGAAAGGGGUGCUAAUACCGGAUAAUGUCCUCGGACCAAAGAUUUAUCGCCUUUGGAUGGGCCCGCGUUGGAUUAGCUAGUUGGUAGGGUAAAAGCCUACCAAGGCGACGAUCCAUAGCUGGUCUGAGAGGAUGAUCAGCCACACUGGGACUGAGACACGGCCCAGACUCCUACGGGAGGCAGCAGUGGGGAAUAUUGGACAAUGGGCGAAAGCCUGAGCCAGCAAUGCCGCGUGAGUGAUGAAGGCCUUAGGGUUGUAAAGCUCUUUUACCCGGGAUGAUAAUGACAGUACCGGGAGAAUAAGCUCCGGCUAACUCCGUG
rnacentral:rRNA from 1 species